rnacentral:rRNA from 1 species
AUAUAUUGAGGUAUAGCCUCAGGAGUUUUCUUGCGGAGGUAGAGCACUGACAAGCUAGGGGUCCCACCAGAUUACCAAACCUUAUCAAACUCCGAAUGCCGUAAGAUAUAUCCUGGGAGUCAGACUGCGGGUGCGAAGGUCCGUAGUCGAAAGGGAAACAGCCCAGACCGUCAGCUAAGGUCCCCAAAUCCAUACUCAGUGGAAAAGGUGGUGGAGUUGUAUAGACAGCCAGGAGGUUGGCUUAGAAGCAGCCAUCCUUUAAAGAAAGCGUAAUAGCUCACUGGUCUAACGAUUCUGCGCCGAAAAUGUAACGGGGCUAAGUAUGGUACCGAAGCUACGGGAUGCGUCUUUGACGCAUCGGUAGGAGAGCGUUCUCAGAUGGGAUGAAGGUGAAUCGGAAGGUUCGCUGGACUAAUGAGAAGUGAUUAUGCUGGCAUGAGUAACGAUAAAACAAGUGAGAAACUUGUUCGCCGUAAGACUAAGGUUUCCUGGGUAAAGCUAAUCUUCCCAGGGUUAGUCGGUCCCUAAGGCGAGGCCGAAAGGCGUAGUCGAUGGAAAACGGGUUAAUAUUCCCGUACCAGCAAAUGUGUGCGAUGGAGGGACGCAGUAGGAUAGCUCAGCCGGCUGUUGGAUAUGCCGGUGUAAGUGCGUAGCUUAGGAAAUAGGCAAAUCCGUUUCCUUUUAAGGCCGAGACACGAUGCCGUAACUUUACGUUUGAAGUGAGUAAUUCCAGACUGCCUAGAAAAUCUUCUAAGUUUAGCAUUUGUUGACCGUACCGCAAACCAACACAGGUAGUCGGGUCGAGUAGACCAAGGCGCUUGAGAGAACUCUGGUUAAGGAACUCGGCAAAAUGAUCCCGUAAGUUAGCGAGAAGGGAUGCUCCAGAUGGUGACUUGAUUCACUUAAUGAGCUGUUUGGAGCCGCAGAGAAUCGGGGGGGGCGACUGUUUACUAAAAAACAUAGGUCUAUGCUAAGUCGUAAGACGAUGUAUAUGGACUGACGCCUGCCCGGUGCUGGAAGGUUAAAAGGAGGUGUUAGACUUCGGUCGAAGCUCCGAAUUGAAGCCCCAGUAAACGGCGGCCGUAACUAUAACGGUCCUAAGGUAGCGAAAUUCCUUGUCGGGUAAGUUCCGACCUGCACGAAUGGCGUAACGAUCUCCCCACUGUCUCAACCAGAGACUCAGUGAAAUUGAAUUACCGGUGAAAAUGCCGGUUACCCGCGGUAAGACGGAAAGACCCUGUGCACCUUUACUAUAGCUUGACAUUGGGUUUAGGGCUAUCAUGUGUAGGAUAGGUGGGAGCUUUGAAGCCGGCACGCCAGUGUCGGUGGAGCCAACCUUGAAAUACCACCCUUGAUAGUCUUGAAUUCUAAUCCAACGCCGUUAUCCGGCUUGGAGACAGUGUCUGGUGGGUAGUUUGACUGGGCGGUCGCCUCCUAAAAAAGUAACGGAGGCUUACAAAGGUUAGUUCAGGUGGGUUGGAAAUCCACCGUAGAGUAUAAUGGCAUAAACUAGCCUGACUGUGAGACAUACAAGUCGAGCAGAGUCGAAAGA